rnacentral:rRNA from 1 species
GAACAUAUGUUUGUCAUAUGAACUUUUAAUCCAUUUUUUUUGUACAUCUCAGGAUGUCGUCUUUGACGACAAUUUCUCUUCAGUUCACAGCAGUGGGCAGCAAGAGCGGUAACGAUGGGACCCGAAAGAUGGUGAACUAUGCCUGGCCAGGUUGAAGUCAGGGGAAACCCUGAUGGAGGACCGUAGCGAUUCUGACGUGCAAAUCGAUCGUCGGAGCUGGGUAUAGGGGCGAAAGACUAAUCGAACCAUCUAGUAGCUGGUUCCUGUCGAAGUUUCCCUCAGGAUAGCUGGUGCUCAUUAACGAGUUUCAUCCGGUAAAGCGAAUGAUUAGAAGCAUUGGGGGCGAAACGCCCUCAACUUAUUCUCAAACUUUAAAUGGGUGAGAAGUCCGUCUUGCUUGAGUGAAGUCGGACACUGAAUCGGAGUACCUAGUGGGCCAUUUUUGGUAAGCAGAACUGGCGCUGCGGGAUGAACCGAACGCAAGGUUAAAGUGCCCAAAUGGAAGUUCAUCAGAUCCCACGAAAGGUGUUGGUUGCUUAAGACAGCAGGACGGUGGCCAUGGAAGUCGGAAUCCGCUAAGGAGUGUGUAACAACUCACCUGCCGAAGCAACUAGCCCUGAAAAUGGAUGGCGCUAAAGCUUCUUUCUUAUACCUUGCCGUUGACGUCAGAGCAGGCCUUCCAGGCCCUGAAGACUCAACGAGUAGGCAGGUCGAGCGGGUGGCGCUGAAGGCUCUGGGAGUGAUCCUGGCUGGAGCCGCCCGUUGUGCAGAUCUUGGUGGUAGUAGCAAAUACUCCAGAGAGGCCCUGGAGGACCGAUGUGGAGAAGGGUUUCGUGUGAACAGCCGUUGAACACGAGUCAGUCGAUCCUAAGGCUUAGUGGAAGCAUUGUUCAAUGGAGCGGUGAUCUAAAGUAAAAUUAGAGCCGCAUCUACAGCCGAAAGGGAAUCAGGUUCUUAUUCCUGAACCUGGUAGCGUAACCGUUUGGGAGCCUCGUAUCUCACGUGGUAACACGAACAGAGCUUGAGACGCCCGUCCGAACCCUGGGAAGAGUUGUCUUUUCUGCAUAAGCAACCGAGGCCCUGGAAUUUCUUUGAGAAGAGAAUGGGUUUUGGUAUUGCCAAGAGCAUAGCAGUUCUCGCUGUGUCCAUGGGCGUCGGACGGGACCUUGAAAAUCAAGCUGAGGGCUUCGGCGAGUCGCACCAGCUCGUACCCAUAUCCGCAGCAGGUCUCCUAGGUAAACAGCCUCUGGUCGAUAGAAUAAUGUAGGUAAGGGAAGUCGGCAAAUUGGUUCCGUAACUUCGGGAAAAGGAAUGGCUCUAAAGGCCGGGGUGUUUGGGCUUAGUGCAGGAAGCAGUCGGUUUAUCGGUGGGCCUGGCGAAACCUUCGCGGUGAAGUCGGUCCCAUUCUCAAGCUACUGUGGAGUGCCUUUGCUUCGCAGUCCCGGGCAACCGGGUAACUGUUCAAGCAUCAAUUAACGGCUAAUUUAGAACUGGCACGGACAAGGGGAAUCCGACUGUUUAAUUAAAACAAAGCAUUGCGAUGGUCAGAGAGUGAUGUUGACGCAAUGUGAUUUCUGCCCAGUGCUCUGAAUGUCAAAGUGAAGAGGUUCGUCCAAGCGCGGGUAAACGGCGGGAGUAACUAUGACUCUCUUAAGGUAGCCAAAUGCCUCGUCAGAUAACUACUGACGCGCAUGAAUGGAUUAACGAGAUUCCCACUGUCCCUAUCUACUAUCUAGCGAAACCGCAGCCAAGGGAACGGACUUGGGAGAAUCAGCGGGGAAAGAAGACCCUGUUGAGCUUGACUCUAGUCUCCUAUUGUGGCGAAGCAUUUUUGGCGUAGAAUAGGGAGGAGCGCAAGCAUCAGUGAAAUACUCCUACAAAAAUCGCUUCUCUGCUUACUCGGUUAAGCGAAGUUAGAGCUUUCGGGCUCUAUUUCUCGAAUCAAAUGGUAAAUCUCCGAUUUGUCAUGAUUCGCUCCGAGGACAUUGCGAGGCGGGGAGUUUGACUGGGGCGGUACAUCUGUCAAAUGAUAACGCAGGUGUCCUAAGGCCAGCUCAGUGAGGACGGAAACCUCGCGUAGAGCAAAAGGGCAAAUGCUGGCUUGACCUCUCCCUUCAGUACGGGGCGAGGAGCAGAAAUGUCGGCCUAUCGAUCCUCUUUAUUUCGGAGUUUGAAGAAAGAGGUGCCAGAAAAGUUACCACAGGGAUAACUGGCUUGUGGC